rnacentral:lncRNA from 1 species
UGAUUGCCUAACAAAGACAGUCGCAAGUUCACCCUGUCUGUUUCUGAGUCUGCCUCUUUCCUCAGCUAGCCAGCCUAUAUUUGCCUUCUAAUGGACUGACCCAGCUUCCAAUGAUUCUUGGCAACUCACUUGGACCCGGCUGCCUCAAGGAUUCAAGAACGCAACCACUCUGUUCUGUGAGGCCUUCCAGAAGGACUUACUUGGUGAGUUUUCGAUCCCAUGACCCUAACCUCAUCUUGCUUCAAUAUGUGGAAGAUCUGUUGUUAGCUGCUGCCAGUUGUUCAGAAUGCCUUCAGGAAACAAGAGCUCCUACGAUUGCUAGAGGAGUUGGGCUAAUGUGUCUUGGUUAAAAAGGCACAACUCUGUGCUUCCCAAGCAUCGUACCUGUGGUAUGAGACCUCAAAAGGAAGAAAAACUUUGCCUCAGGCAAGGAAAUGGGCCAUUCUGCAGAUACCCAUGCCAACUACCAAGAAAUAGUUACAAGAAUUCCUAGAUGCAGCUGGAUACUGUGGCCUCUGGAUACCUGGGUUUGCCAAGAUAGCACAGCCCUGAAAUCAAGCCCUAGAGUGGAGAACAAAAGAAGAAAAGGUGUUCCAGGAUUUAAAACAAGCUCUGGUGUCAGCCCUGACUCUGGUGUUGCCUGGCAUCAAUCACCAAACCGUUCCAACUGUUCACUCAUGAGGUUCUCAGUCUGGUAACACUGAUGCCACAUGAUGACCCCAAUACCCCAAUGCAUGACUGAGGAGGUGUUGGACCACACCUAGGGAGGCUGCUCAGACCUAAUGGACAUCCCCCAGCUGAGGCUGACACCACUCUCUUCACGGAUGGAAGUAGCAUGGUGGUAAGUGGGGUGCGGAAGGGAAAGUCCUUAAGUCACAUCUGCAGGGCCCUGUCCUGGCUCCAUGACUUUGAGCAGAAGAAACAGCAAGAAGAGGCCCACUGUCUCCUUGAACCUGAAGCCAGCCCCUCGCCUGAGGGGCAGACUUGUCUUCCUGCCAAGCAUCCUCCACCACCCUGAGACCUACACAAGAGCCAGACUGGGUCACCCAGUUUGUGCAGAGGAAGGAAGGAAGGGACCUGGCAGAGCGAGUGAAGGUGAGGGCUGGGUAGCAUCCUCGAGUCAGUGGAU